AUUGAACGCUGGCGGCAGGCCUAACACAUGCAAGUCGAGCGGAUGAAGGGAGCUUGCUCCUGGAUUCAGCGGCGGACGGGUGAGUAAUUCCUAGGAAUCUGCCUUGUAGUGGGGGAUAACGUCCGGAAACGGGCGCUAAUACCGCAUACGUCCUGAGGGAGAAAGUGGGGGAUCUUCGGACCUCACGCUAUCAGAUGAGCCUAGGUCGGAUUAGCUAGUUGGUGGGGUAAAGGCCUACAAAGGCGACGAUCCGUAACUGGUCUGAGAGGAUGAUCAGUCACACUGGAACUGAGACACGGUCCAGACUCCUACGGGAGGCAGCAGUGGGGAAUAUUCGACAAUGGGCGAAAGCCUGAUCCAGCCAUGCCGCGUGUGUGAAGAAGGUCUUCGGAUUGUAAAGCACUUUAAGUUGGGAGGAAGGGCAGUAAGUUAAUACCUUGCUGUUUUGACGUUACCAACAGAAUAAGCACCGGCUAACUUCGUG
rnacentral:rRNA from 1 species